rnacentral:rRNA from 1 species
UGGGGAAUAUUGCACAAUGGGCGCAAGCCUGAUGCAGCCAUUCCGCGUGUGUGAAGAAGGCCUUCGGGUUUUAAAGCACUUUCAGCGGGGAGGAAGGCGUUAAGGUUAAUAACCUUGGCGAUUGACGUUACCCGCAGAAGAAGCACCGGCUAACUCCGUGCCAGCAGCCGCGGUAAUACGGAGGGUGCAAGCGUUAAUCGGAAUUACUGGGCGUAAAGCGCACGCAGGCGGUCUGUCAAGUCGGAUGUGAAAUCCCCGGGCUCAACCUGGGAACUGCAUUCGAAACUUGCAGGCUAGAGUAUUGUAGAGGUGGGUAGAAUUCCAGGGGUAGCGGUGAAAUGCGUAGAGAUCUGGAGGAAUACCGGUGGCGAAGGCGGCCCCCUGGACAAAGACUGACGCUCAGGUGCGAAAGCGUGGGGAGCAAACAGG